rnacentral:rRNA from 1 species
UUUAAUUGAAGAGUUUGAUCAUGGCUCAGAUUGAACGCUGGCGGCAGGCUUAACACAUGCAAGUCGAGCGGUAGCACAGGGGAGCUUGCUCUCUGGGUGACGAGCGGCGGACGGGUGAGUAAUGUCUGGGAAACUGCCUGAUGGAGGGGGAUAACUACUGGAAACGGUAGCUAAUACCGCAUAACGUCGCAAGACCAAAGAGGGGGACCUUCGGGCCUCUUGCCAUCAGAUGUGCCCAGAUGGGAUUAGCUAGUAGGUGGGGUAAUGGCUCACCUAGGCGACGAUCCCUAGCUGGUCUGAGAGGAUGACCAGCCACACUGGAACUGAGACACGGUCCAGACUCCUACGGGAGGCAGCAGUGGGGAAUAUUGCACAAUGGGCGCAAGCCUGAUGCAGCCAUGCCGCGUGUGUGAAGAAGGCCUUCGGGUUGUAAAGCACUUUCAGCGAGGAGGAAGGUGGUGAGCUUAAUACGCUCAUCAAUUGACGUUACUCGCAGAAGAAGCACCGGCUAACUCCGUGCCAGCAGCCGCGGUAAUACGGAGGGUGCAAGCGUUAAUCGGAAUUACUGGGCGUAAAGCGCACGCAGGCGGUUUGUUAAGUCAGAUGUGAAAUCCCCGGGCUCAACCUGGGAACUGCAUUUGAAACUGGCAAGCUAGAGUCUCGUAGAGGGGGGUAGAAUUCCAGGUGUAGCGGUGAAAUGCGUAGAGAUCUGGAGGAAUACCGGUGGCGAAGGCGGCCCCCUGGACGAAGACUGACGCUCAGGUGCGAAAGCGUGGGGAGCAAACAGGAUUAGAUACCCUGGUAGUCCACGCUGUAAACGAUGUCGAUUUGGAGGUUGUGCCCUUGAGGCGUGGCUUCCGGAGCUAACGCGUUAAAUCGACCGCCUGGGGAGUACGGCCGCAAGGUUAAAACUCAAAUGAAUUGACGGGGGCCCGCACAAGCGGUGGAGCAUGUGGUUUAAUUCGAUGCAACGCGAAGAACCUUACCUACUCUUGACAUCCAGAGAACUUUCCAGAGAUGGAUUGGUGCCUUCGGGAACUCUGAGACAGGUGCUGCAUGGCUGUCGUCAGCUCGUGUUGUGAAAUGUUGGGUUAAGUCCCGCAACGAGCGCAACCCUUAUCCUUUGUUGCCAGCGGUUCGGCCGGGAACUCAAAGGAGACUGCCAGUGAUAAACUGGAGGAAGGUGGGGAUGACGUCAAGUCAUCAUGGCCCUUACGAGUAGGGCUACACACGUGCUACAAUGGCAUAUACAAAGAGAAGCGACCUCGCGAGAGCAAGCGGACCUCAUAAAGUAUGUCGUAGUCCGGAUUGGAGUCUGCAACUCGACUCCAUGAAGUCGGAAUCGCUAGUAAUCGUAGAUCAGAAUGCUACGGUGAAUACGUUCCCGGGCCUUGUACACACCGCCCGUCACACCAUGGGAGUGGGUUGCAAAAGAAGUAGGUAGCUUAACCUUCGGGAGGGCGCUUACCACUUUGUGAUUCAUGACUGGGGUGAAGUCGUAACAAGGUAACCGUAGGGGAACCUGCGGUUGGAUCACCUCCUUACCUAAAGA